UAAAAAAUUAGUCUAGGUGCUUCGGU
rnacentral:piRNA from 1 species